ACCUGGCUGGUAAAGUGGUCAGUAUUGCUGCCUUCCAAGCAGUUGACCUAGGUUUGAUUCCCAGCCAACGCA